rnacentral:rRNA from 1 species
GGCAUGCCUAUCAUGCAAGUCGAGCGGAAUGACGAGAGCUUGCUCUCUGAUUUUAGCGGCGGACGGGUGAGUAACACGUGGGCAACCUGCCCUACAGAUGGGGAUAACUCCGGGAAACCGGGGCUAAUACCGAAUAAUCAGUUUGUCCGCAUGGACAAACUCUGAAAGACGGUUUCGGCUGUCACUGUAGGAUGGGCCCGCGGCGCAUUAGCUAGUUGGUGGGGUAAUGGCCUACCAAGGCAACGAUGCGUAGCCGACCUGAGAGGGUGAUCGGCCACACUGGGACUGAGACACGGCCCAGACUCCUACGGGAGGCAGCAGUAGGGAAUCUUCCACAAUGGACGAAAGUCUGAUGGAGCAAUGCCGCGUGAGCGAAGAAGGUUUUCGGAUCGUAAAGCUCUGUUGUAAGGGAAGAACACGUACGGGAGUAACUGCCCGUGCCAUGACGGUACCUUAUUAGAAAGCCACGGCUAACUACGUGCCAGCAGCCGCGGUAAU